UUGGAGCCACUUGAUUCGGAUGAAUGAAGUCCGUUUAAGAUCUUCAUGUAUAUCUCUGAUCCCAUAGAGAUGUUAUUAUGACCACAUUUAUAGGCUGCAUGUUCAGUUAUUCGGAAACUACCAAACUGACAAAGUAGUGGAGUUCAAUGACAUCCAUUACGAGAGCAUAUCUCAUCGUAGUUGAUCCCAGUGCGUGUUAGUGAAAGACCUUGCGCCAUAAGGUGAGUCUAAGCUCUUACUCUCACUACGCUAUCUAACAAUGGCAUAGUUGAUAGGGUUUAGCUUGCGGUGUCGGCAUCACCUGCCCAAGGACCUAUCUCUUUGUUAAUGCUGGAUUGUAUCUUUCCAUUAGGCCAAUCAACUAAGUUGAUAUCCAUCAACGAAGGGUGGUUCGAUAGUAGACUCAUUAUCUCACGUCCUCAUGUACACUAAUGUAAUACUUGUAGAGAUCUCUAUAUGGAUUGGAUUUGACAUUGAGGCGUCCCCCAACGAUAAUCACAAUUCAGACUUCAUGAGACGGAUUUGAGUAUCACUGAUCAAUGGAUCAGGUUGUGCCAAGCUCACUUUCUUUCUAGUGCAAGACAAUAUCGAACCUAAGGGCCUCCCUCUUUUUAGGGAGCCACACGGCCUUGUGACACCAAUUUUACCAUUAUAUGGCGUCACUAUAUCACCAUCCAUGGUGAUGGCGUCAAGACCAACACUUUUUGGUCGCCCCAUGUCCUUUUGUAGGACAUCAAUCCUUGCAGACAUAUUUGCAGCAUGUUAUCUCGUCACUUUAACACUAUAAGCAUUUGGGAUCAAGAUGAGACUUAGUGGGGACAAACCACGACAAUUCACGUCGUUCCACUUGAACACUUGUGUUCUUAUCUCCCCCUAACGAUGGGAAUAUUGUCUCAUCAAAGUGACAAUCCGCAAUUUAGCGGUGAAUGAGAUCGCCUGACAAGGUUCCUACAUAUGCGGAUUAUAGGUGGAGGUUCAUAUCCAACCUAAACUUAUUCAUCUCAAAUGACCAAUCAUUGUACGCAGUGGCAAUGCGAUUUGGCACCUAGAAAUAACAUCUAGCCGAGCUCAAGGAUUGGAGAUCCGUUUCAAUCCUGCCGAGCUCAAGGAUUACAAUUUCGUGUCAAUCCUGGUACACAGUCACGAGCUGUAGUACAACAAAAUUCAAUGAUGGUGGG
rnacentral:lncRNA from 1 species